AACAAAACCCAGACUAAAUACACCAGGAAGUGUGAGGAACCAACGAGACACAGGUGGAGACACUAACGAACAGAUUGGGAACACCUGGGGGCAGGAAGUAGCAACAACUGAAACUAGAGAAAACAGGCAGAGGAAAUCGAGGUCGCCUGUCUGGGAGACUCUAUCGACAGCGGUUUCUCUCAGAGCUUCAGCUCUCCAGAUCCAUAUAAAGAACAACAUUUAUGACGACUGGAGGGAGACAAGGGGUUUCCCAUGACUCUGUCAAGAUGCCAUGUUGCGACGCUAGCAAGACGCUCAAAGGAGGUUUCAGCGCUCUAAUGAACCAUCUGGACCGUUUCUCUCUCGUUUAUGGAGUUGUGAACAAUUAUGGCUACAAGAUGGGAUCCAUAAAAACAACUAUAGAGCUUUAUUACGACGCGUUAAAGUCUUUUCCCAAGGCUAAGUGUGUGUGUGUGUGUGUGUGUGUGUUAAGCCUUUUGGGUUUAUUUUAGACACUCUCAUUUGAGACAAAGAAAUUGCCUCAUACUCUCAUAAACUAGAAUGCAACAUAAACUCUUUCGUCUUUCUCAUCUUCUGCUUCAUCUUUUCCUCAAAUAUAAAUAUUCUAUGUACAAAUUUUUUGGGGAUCUCCAUAUAAACUUCUUCCAAAGAUUCAGCCUGACAGAGAUGUGACCAAACCUCCGGGGAGUGGCAUUCAUUUUGGGGCCCCCCAGAAUUCCCACAGGGGACCCUGAGAGUCCCUUGAGUACAAUUUGAGACAAUUUUGCUUCAGUUUUUAUGCAUAGCACUUUGUGUCUUUUACACGCCGUUUACAGUUGGUUUUAUUUAGUUGGUUUCCAGGGUUCUGAAUAAACUCUGAAUCUCAAUUAUUAAGCCAACAUGGAUGAAAGAAAGGAAACGAUCAAAGUUGGAAGAGAAGAAAAGAAAGUUCC
rnacentral:lncRNA from 1 species